CCCGCCGUCCCGUCACCCGUCGAUUCGGUUGUGGCGCUGCGCACUUCCACCCUCGUUGCCCUCCCUGGUCCAGCAACGUCACCUGCUCCCUUCAACUCCCGUCUCGGUCUUCAUGGCCCUCAGAUCUAGCAGCCCUCGGCCACGACGCUGCCGAAUUUGGUCGGCUUGGCCUCGUCGCCCCAACCAAUAGGUGCUCGACGCCGCUCCUCGGGAUUCUGGAACACAACGGUCUUCUUCGUCAGCUCUAUAUCCCUCCACUUCCUACGCCAUGUAUCGGCCAUCUGCCCUUUCUUGAAGCUCCUCCUCAUCCAAGUGGCCACCUGAUGUUGCCGAGUGGACCACGCUCACUCGCGCCUUCACCCACCAGUACCAGUUUGGUCGCCACUUCCUUUGCGCAAUUCGUCGAGCAGGUCAUCUGUGUGGCGUAUGUGUGUUGUUGUAAUGCAUGGCUUGUUUUUUGGUGCUUGAGGUGCAGGAUUUUCUCGUGUCUUUCAAGUUGAAUACCGGGGUGAUGGAGGAGAUGGUGCCAUGGCGGGCUACUAUGGUGGUGAGGUUCACGUACUACAGUGAGGCCAUGGCCAUCAUUGUUUGCAUGUCUAUUUAGGUGGCAGUUGGGCCUAUCUGAAGAGCAAUAAUGUAAUGCUUUUGAGCUUAGGUACAUGAAGUCGUAUUUGAAAGCGGACGAGAUGAUGUUUGUCAACACGAAACUAAAAAGGGAUGUGAAACAAUACUGGAGGAACCGUGAUCUAUGGCAAGGGUGAUGAUAUCUAUGGCAAUGAUUGUCAUGAUCUAUAUGGCGAUGAGCGUUAUGAUCCAUGAAGGGUGAUGAGUCUAAUGAUCUUUCUUUAGGACAUGCAACAAAGUGAACUUCUGAAGUUCUGGUCAAUUUUAGCUUAGGCAUAAUGCUUGGACCAUUAUAUAUUAGUUACUAUUUUGUUUUGCAUUUCAAACUUCUAGAUAGAUCAUGAUGAACAGUGUAAUUUGGAUGCAUGUCA